AGCAGCCGCGGUAAUUCCAGCUCCAAUAGCGUAUAUUAAAGUUGUUGCAGUUAAAAAGCUCGUAGUUGAAUUUCGGGAUCAAUACGUCGGUCGUGCUUAGGUACGUACUGGCGUAAUUGAUUUCUCCCUUCUGAAGAACCGCGAUGUCAUUAAUUUGGUGUCGCGGGGAAUCAGGACUGUUACUUUGAAAAAAUUGAGUGUUUAAAGCAGGCUCGCGCUUGAAUACAUUAGCAUGGAAUAAUGAAAUAGGACGUUUGAUUCUAUUUUGUUGGUUUCUAGGAUCGACGUAAUGAUUAAUAGGGAUAGUUGGGGGCAUUAGUAUUCAAUUGUCAGAGGUGAAAUUCUUGGAUUUAUUGAAGACUAACUACUGCGAAAGCAUUUGCCAAGGAUGUUUUCAUUAAUCAAGAACGAAAGUUAGGGAUCGAAGACGAUCAGAUACCGUCGUAGUCUUAACCAUAAACUAUGCCGACUAGGGAUCGGAUGAUGUUAAUUUUUAUGUACUCAUUCGGCGCCUUAAC
rnacentral:rRNA from 1 species